rnacentral:rRNA from 2 species
AAUACAUGMAGUCGAGCGGMCUCUUCGGRRUCAGCGGCGGACGGGUGAGUAACACGUGGGCAACCUGCCUGUAAGACUGGGAUAACUCCGGGAAACCGGAGCUAAUACCGGAUAYUAUKUCAAACCGCAUGGUUUGAMAUUCAAAGACGGUUUCGGCUGUCACUUACAGAUGGGCCCGCGGCGCAUUAGCUAGUUGGUGAGGUAAUGGCUCACCAAGGCRACGAUGCGUAGCCGACCUGAGAGGGUGAUCGGCCACACUGGGACUGAGACACGGCCCAGACUCCUACGGGAGGCAGCAGUAGGGAAUCUUCCGCAAUGGACGAAAGUCUGACGGAGCAACGCCGCGUGAGUGAUGAAGGUUUUCGGAUCGUAAAACUCUGUUGUCAGGGAAGAACAAGUGCCGGAGUAACUGCCGGCACCUUGACGGUACCUGACCAGAAAGCCACGGCUAACUACGUGCCAGCAGCC